AAGACCUUGCGCUUUUGGAGCGGCCGAUGUCUGAUUAGCUUGUUGGUGAGGUAAGGGCUUACCAAGGCUUCGAUCAGUAGCUGGUCUGAGAGGACGGCCAGCCACACUGGGACUGAGACACGGCCCAGACUCCUACGGGAGGCAGCAGUGGGGAAUUUUGGACAAUGGGGGCAACCCUGAUCCAGCCAUGCCGCGUGAGUGAAGAAGGCCUUCGGGUUGUAAAGCUCUUUCAGCCGGAACGAAACGGUUACGAUUAAUACCCGUAACUACUGACGGUACCGGAAGAAGAAGCACCGGCUAACUACGUGCCAGCAGCCGCGGUAAUACGUAGGGUGCGAGCGUUAAUCGGAAUUACUGGGCGUAAAGCGUGCGCAGGUGGUUUUGUAAGUCAGAUGUGAAAUCCCCGGGCUUAACCUGGGAACU
rnacentral:rRNA from 1 species